UGAUGGAGCAACGCCGCGUGAGUGAAGAAGGGUUUCGGCUCGUAAAGCUCUGUUGGUAGUGAAGAAAGAUAGAGGUAGUAACUGGCCUUUAUUUGACGGUAAUUACUUAGAAAGUCACGGCUAACUACGUGCCAGCAGCCGCGGUAAUACGUAGGUGGCAAGCGUUGUCCGGAUUUAUUGGGCAUAAAGCGAGUGCAGGCGGUUCAAUAAGUCUGAUGUGAAAGCCUUCGGCUCAACCGGAGAAUUGCAUCAGAAACUGUUGAACUUGAGUGCAGAAGAGGAGAGUGGAACUCCAUGUGUAGCGGUGGAAUGCGUAGAUAUAUGGAAGAACACCAGUGGCGAAGGCGGCUCUCUGGUCUGCAACUGACGCUGAGGCUCGAAAGCAUGGGUAGCGAACAGGAUUAGAUACCCUGGUAGUCCAUGCCGUAAACGAUGAGUGCUAAGUGUUGGGAGGUUUCCGCCUCUCAGUGCUGCAGCUAACGCAUUAAGCACUCCGCCUGGGGAGUACGACCGCAAGGUUGAAACUCAAAGGAAUUGACGGGGGCCCGCACAAGCGGUGGGGCAUGUGGUUUAAUUCGAAGCAACGCGAAGAAC
rnacentral:rRNA from 1 species